rnacentral:rRNA from 1 species
GGGCUCGCAGGCGGUUUCUUAAGUCUGAUGUGAAAGCCCCCGGCUCAACCGGGGAGGGUCAUUGGAAACUGGGGAACUUGAGUGCAGAAGAGGAGAGUGGAAUUCCACGUGUAGCGGUGAAAUGCGUAGAGAUGUGGAGGAACACCAGUGGCGAAGGCGACUCUCUGGUCUGUAACUGACGCUGAGGAGCGAAAGCGUGGGGAGCGAACAGGAUUAGAUACCCUGGUAGUCCACGCCGUAAACGAUGAGUGCUAAGUGUUAGGGGGUUUCCGCCCCUUAGUGCUGCAGCUAACGCAUUAAGCACUCCGCCUGGGGAGUACGGUCGCAAGACUGAAACUCAAAGGAAUUGACGGGGGCCCGCACAAGCGGUGGAGCAUGUGGUUUAAUUCGAAGCAACGCGAAGAACCUUACCAGGUCUUGACAUCCUCUGACAAUCCUAGAGAUAGGACGUCCCCUUCGGGGGCAGAGUGACAGGUGGUGCAUGGUUGUCGUCAGCUCGUGUCGUGAGAUGUUGGGUUAAGUCCCGCAACGAGCGCAACCCUUGAUCUUAGUUGCCAGCAUUCAGUUGGGCACUCUAAGGUGACUGCCGGUGACAAACCGGAGGAAGGUGGGGAUGACGUCAAAUCAUCAUGCCCCUUAUGACCUGGGCUACACACGUGCUACAAUGGACAGAACAAAGGGCAGCGAAACCGCGAGGUUAAGCCAAUCCCACAAAUCUGUUCUCAGUUCGGAUCGCAGUCUGCAACUCGACUGCGUGAAGCUGGAAUCGCUAGUAAUCGCGGAUCAGCAUGCCGCGGUGAAUACGUUCCCG